CCCAUCUUGUCCGUGUCCCAGGCAGCCGCGACUCAGCACCUGCCCACGAAGCCAUCCUCUGCUUUUAACGAAUAUUAAGAGAUCAAGCUUCUUAAUUUGCUUUCCCAAAACAAAAAUAAUCCGUGUUCAGCUGGAGUACCUGGCCCACUGAGCCCUGCCGUGGGUACGGGCUGGUAGGAUGCGACUGUGGACGUCCCUGGAAGAUGCGGGUACCGACUGCUCCACCAUCGGGCUGCUGGCAACUGCGUUGUGGUUUUCCGUUUGCCGAAGGGAUAAGAAUUAAGAAUUAAUGUUAUAAGGGCACUGAUGGGACAAACACCAACCUGCUCAUACAGUCAGCCCCUACAGGCUGGUGCUAAUGGGUGAUGAGAAUCCAUGAGGGCUGAGAUUAAAAAGAAAACUAUCCCUAGAACUGAUUUCCUCUAAGACCUUCAGGGAGGAUUCCAAGUCCUGGCUUUGCAACGGGAAUCUGGAAAUAGUUUAAAACCUGAGGUCUUGUGCUACCAAGCUCCCUGUGUGAAGAAGCCCAGUGUCUCAGACAUGACUGCGUCACCAAACGUUGGCCCUGCUGCAACCUCUGGAACCCAAACCCAUGGCCACGUCCUUUCCUGAGCACAGACCACAGCCCCACCAGCUUCCAGCCACAAAGUCUCGAGUUGAGUGAAAGUGUGUAAAGCCCGAGAUUUUGCAGGUGAAACAUUUCAAGCUCUACAAGCAAAAUCUGUUUGCUUAGCAAAAGUAACCGUUAGAUAAUACGGCCACAGAAAUAAUUCAUUUAUGAUGCUAUAGUCCUAUAAAACUGAGAAUCCCCAAGCAUUUUGCAAAUGGUGAAUUAAGCUCCAAAAGCAUCCUCUGAGGCAGACAAACACUAAAUAGAUUACAUUUUAUAUGGAAAAAAAUGGACAAUAUGUGACAGCUGCAGAAAAACACAGAAUAGAAACUACUCUUUUUAUGUCUCUCACUUUUAGUGAGUUAAACAUUCUUAUUUGAAAGAAGCAAUUGUUUCUAUUGCAUGAUUUUACACUAGUAAUCCUUGCAGUGAUCAUCUUCCAUUCAAAAACCAGGCAACUCAUAACAUCACCUUUCAGAAGUUCGUAAUGGCUCUUACAUUUUUAACUAUACCUGCACAAAAAUGGCCAAUGAACAUAAAUGCCUCCAAAUCUGCACAGCACCAAGGAAAUUAGGGGGUUAAAGAAUGGGGGAUCAUCACAGACAGUAUAUGCUGCUACAGAGAAACAGCUGAAUGAUUUCAGAAGUGCAUGGAAAGAUGAGAAAUUAGGAAAAGUACUUUGUCAUGAGACUGCAGGCUUGGCAGAUAAUACUGGUGAUAAUAACUGGUGUGUGCGUAUGUUUGAGGUGGGCACUUAUUAGCAAGGAAUGGAGUUAGUACUGUUUUGUAAAUACUACUGGUUGUCUGAACGGCAGCAAUUACAUACUCAUUCUUACCUACUGCCGUUGCAAAGUGUUCUGGCUUGAGCAGUCUGGGAAUUGGGUUUGCAUUUAAAUUUCCACCACUGCUAACACCGCGGAGAGUGGGUGAGGAUAGCUCCACAUCCACAGCUCUCAAGGUCUCUAGAUCUUUGUGUCUUUUCUGAGAGUUAGCGGGCAGCCUUGGCAGCCACCAGAGGUGUGAUUGCAGUGUGGGCAAAUGUAUCCAGGACCAGCAUUACUCAGAGGCUUAGGCAGCGGUGACAAUGGAGGUGGAGUGGCCUAUAGUUCCGUAGGAGUUAGUCGUAAAAAUUAAUUAGCCCCACUGGUUAGGCUAGGAGCUCCUCAAGUGUGCAUCGAAGAGCUGUCGGUUUACUUCCCUGAUGAAUAUCCUAACGACUGCAAAGAAAACAUGGUAAAAGAGACAUAUCUGUUCCUGAAGAUGAACAAAAAAUUUGCAACAAACAAGCAAACAAAAGCCCCAAAACCAAAAGCAAACUUAAAGCCACUUAAAAUUGUAGCAUUUAAAUGUUUUACCCACAGCAGGCUUUGUGUUCUCCAUCAAAUAACUGACAGCGGCACAAACUGUGGAUGCAAGUAAGUUAUCGUGGCAUUUUCCCAGCUCAGUCUAGACACAAAGGUUCUUUUCCACUUUAAUAAUGGAGCCUAGUUUUUCUUCUGUUAUCACCAGUCAUAGAGCCCAAAUGGCUAAAUAUAUCAGAGGUAUUCCUCAGGCUGAAAAUUUCUCAGACUGCUUUGUGCAUUCCAUGUUUCAUCUUUGAAAGCAGAUGAGGCUUUUAGCAUCCUUCAUUUAUUUUUACUUAUUUAAAAUCUAAUGAAAUGACACGCUAGGGAUCUUUACCACUGGGUGCUGAGCGUCUCUUGAAAUUCACUUAAUGACCUAAGAUCUUAGGGCAGGGGUGGUCAACAUUUCACAAGACCAGCUUCUUAGUGCUCUAAAUGUACAGUAAUAAAUGGGCAAAACUGAGACUUUGAGGGGAGUAGACAGCUUGGGGAAUUGAUAAUAAGAAAGAUGCUGAGGUCCAGGAAAUUUGUAUUGUUAUUAUACUGUUACUAUUGGGUUUGUUCUUUACCAUAGUGAAGAUACAAUAAAGUCAGGGCUUCAUCGGAACAACCAGGCAAUGACCUUUGCUUGGAAAUCUGAUCAUCUAAAAUUAACCAGAACACGAGGGGCUGUAAUAAAGAGCACAGAAGGAGUAAGGUAAGAAAAUUUAAAAUGGGAGUUGUAUGAUCACGCAGUGACUCCAAUGAAUCACAUAAAUGUAAAGAUCGUUCAGCAGUCCUUUGGAAGGUGGGGGAUUUACAUAUGAACCGGUAACCAAAUCCUUUAUAUUCAAGCUUCACAGGAGUGAAUCUCAGAUGAAAUUUGAAAGGUGACAGGGAGGCAGCUAAAGGGAUCAGAGCCAGAGUUUCAGUGAAAUAUGUACGUGAAUAAACUAAAUAUUACGUAGGAGCUUGUUGGACAGUUUAGUAACAAAUGGGAUAUCUGUCAGAGUACAGCUUGAGGCUGCCUUCUGACAGAAUGAAACAACAGUUUUUAAAAAAAUCCCUUCCUCAUUACUGCCAUGUAGACCCAGCCAACAGCAACGCCCCUCUGGAAUCUCUCUCACACGAUGGCAAAUUUGCCUUGACAGCUCCAAGGUCAAAUGAAGUCGAAGGAAUCACCAAGAAUUCAACCAAUGGACUUUAUCCAGCGGUUACAGCGAAAGACUCAAAGCAACCAUAGUGGGAUUCUGCUCUCAGCUUUCACCCUUCUGGACCGUACAAGGAACACCACGUGCAGGUAUCCAGGCAGGUCCCUUAGCACGGGAGGUUGCAAGCUGCGUUGGAGCCUCACGCCCUCGUGCCUCUGACCACUGCGGAUCCUGAUGCAGGGAUGAGCUAGGGAAGGAGCACUGUGGCAAGAUAACUGUGGCCAGUCUAUCUGGAAUUGUCAGGUGGCCCUACACGGAUGCUUUUGUCUACAUCGGUCAUAAAUUUGUCCCAAAGCCACCUCUGGUCCUCCCCUGUCUUGCACGGCACAGCUCAAGGUGCUCUGUGACUUCAGGCUUGUCUUCUGUUAUUAGUGAAUCUUUUUGUCUCAUAUUCUUAGCUCCAAAAUGGGUCUAAAAUAUUUGUGUGUGUUUGCAGAGUUUGGGAUGCCACUUACAGAGUAAUUUUGAUAGACUGGGAUUUUUUCUUCAGAUGAAAGAUUCCCCGUUGACACAAACUGGCAUACGCAAGUCGUAUUCUUUCCCAUGGCUGCUUAGCUCCGAGGUGGUUUUCCUUUCAUAUCAUCCUCUUUCACAUAAAUCAAAUAUAAGAUACUGCUACAAAUGUAAACAUUAACCUGUGAAAGUAUAAACCCUGAAGUUUACUUAUUUUACAGAGCGUGAAUAGCAUAGAAAAACAUGAUUGUUGCCUCCAAGAGCUAACACAUGAAAUUAAGCGGAUAAUGUAGAAGAGAAACUCAGUGCAGUGGAUAAUCAGGAGGUGCCUUCGUCAGCAAUGCUAGUACCCGCUUUCAGGUUUUCAUACACACUUCUGCAUGCUGGAUUAAUACUGAUAGAGAAUAGCAUGGACAAAGUUCACAGGAGACCAAGACGGCUAAUUUCAAAUUUAACAUGGUGAAAAAAGGCAGUGAUAAAGCCUCAGGAAUAUUUAUAAUUUCAUGCUUAGAGCGUUUUCACUGGCUGUGAUUCAUGAUGCAAUGACAUGAUUCACAGCCUAAGGGAUGUGUGAAAGAUCCCACUGAAAGCAAGGAUCGGAGGAAUAUUGCAUGGUCUCGUGGAAAGCACCGGGACCCUCCUGUUUUGUGUGGGAGCUCAGAAGGUCUUUCUUUACCUGAGAAAUGUGGAGAAUAACCAGGCACCCCUAGAGAAAAUUCUGCUGCUAUUGAGUCUUUCCAGACCUAAAAAAGCCAUCUGCAUGAACCAGAUAGCAGCUCACUUUUCAGCCCCACAAGCUCUUUCCUUAGAUUAUUAACUGAGAUUGCUAAUGAGGCGGCCAGGCCAGUUAGCCACGGCCACAGUGGUGGGGUUUUUGGCUACAAACAUCUGUGCAGCAGGAACAAGGCUGAACUCAGCGGACAUUCGUCAGAUGAUGGCAACAACAAAUGACUGAAGUGUUGAGCUGGAUUUGAAGAGGUAGCACAAAGAUAAAAGACUCCAGAAGCCCUCUGCAAUUCCCUUAGUCAUCCAUUCCCACCGAAGGCUUCUGUUUUGAAGUUUUCAGGAGGCCUGGUGCGACCUUUGGUUGUCCUUUUGGUCAGAGCUCUUAUCUGUCUAGUGCAGACUUGGCCUCUUUUUGCUUGUACUACUCAAAAACAGUUAUUACGGGAUAAACAAACUGUAUUUGCUGAUGCACGUUCUCAGUUUCCUUAUCAGCUGAACAACACGCUUCUCGUGCAUGUUGGGUCAAACUCACUGCUGGUCCAGCUCCAAGAAUUCCGGGGCGACUGCACCAGAGCUUAUUCGGUGCUCGCUCACACCUACUGACUGCAAAAAUAACCCCAUAACCACACCGUGAUGGAGCAUUGCCUUACGAGCCAACUGAGCAUUUCCCAGUGUUUCAAAGCAUCCUUAGGUUGAUGAUUACAGAUCCUAGACCUUCUUAAUGAGAGAGCAACAUGAUCUCUAAGCACUGUUUUGGGUAGCUGUCAUGAUGCUCCGGGAUAUUGUCAGAUUGAAGCCUAUGCAUCUUAUUAAAGCAGAAUUUCAGUUUUACUGUGAUUGCCUCUUUAUAAGUAAAUAUAAUUAAAUCACCUGUAUCUCAAAACCA